GCCUAGCUGGCUCAGUCGGUAGAGCAUGAGACUUUUAAUCUCAGGGUUGUGGGUUCGAGUCCCAUGUUGGGCG